ACUCAAAUGAAUAGACGGGAGCCCGCACAAGCAGUGGAGUAUGUUGUUUAAUUCGAUGCAACGCGAAGAACCUUACCAGGUCUUGACAUCUGCCGAACCCGGCGUAAUGGCCGGGGUGCCCGUUCGCGGGAGCGGCAAGACAGGUAGUGCAUGGUUGUCGUCAGCUCGUGUCGUGAGAUGUUGGGUUAAGUCCCGCAACGAGCGCAACCCUUACGGAUAGUUGCUAGCCCCUAAUCGGGGAAGCACUCUAUUCGGACUGCCGUUGACAAAACGGAGGAAGGUGGGGAUGAUGUCAAAUCAUCAUGCUCCUUAAGAUCUGGGCCACAAACGUACUACAAUGGCGCGAACAGAGGGGAGCCAAGGGGCGACCCGGAGCAAAUCCCAAAAACGCGUCCCAGUUCAGAUUGCAGGCUGCAACUCGCCUGCAUGAAGUCGGAAUUGCUAGUAAUCGCGGAUCAGCAUGCCGCGGUGAAUACGUUCCCGGGCUUUGUACACACCGCCCGU
rnacentral:rRNA from 1 species